UGAUGAUAGAGCCUCCAAAUCAAUGAGCGGCACUGUUGAAUAUGAUCUAUAUCAUUUGAAGCAUGUAAAAACGAAAUUUCAUGUUUUUCUGAUAUUGUUCUUAUAGUCUAUCAAGUGUAUAUAAAAAUGAACGGCUAAAAACGAAUAUCCUUUAAAAAGUGAUGAUAGGAGUCUCGCAAUCAAGAUCGAGAGGAUAGAUCUUAUUUUAAAUAGUUCAAAGAAUUUUCUAAUAAAAAUUCAAUUGAUUUGGAUAUCUUUACAUCGUUAAACAAGAAAACGUCUCAUAUCGACCAUUAAAAUUAUAAAUUUUAAAAC
rnacentral:lncRNA from 1 species